rnacentral:rRNA from 1 species
CCAGACUCCUACGGGAGGCAGCAGUGGGGGAUAUUGCACAAUGGGGGGAACCCUGAUGCAGCGACGCCGCGUGGGUGAAGAAGUAUUUCGGUAUGUAAAGCCCUAUCGGCAGGGAAGAAAUUGGACGGUACCUGACUAAGAAGCCCCGGCUAACUACGUGCCAGCAGCCGCGGUAAAACGUAGGGUGCAAGCGUUGUCCGGAAUUACUGGGUGUAAAGGGAGCGCAGGCGGAUUGACAAGUUGGGAGUGAAAACUACGGGCUCAACCCGUAACCUGCUUUCAAAACUGUCAGUCUUGAGUGGUGUAGAGGUAGGCGGAAUUCCCGGUGUAGCGGUGGAAUGCGUAGAUAUCGGGAGGAACACCGGCGGCGAAGGCGGCCUGCUGGACCGUGACUGACGUUGAGGCUCGAGAGCGUGGGGAGCAAACAGGAUUAGAUACCCCAGUAC